rnacentral:lncRNA from 1 species
UUUAAAGCUAAAGUAUUGUUGACUGGCUUAAAUUAAAUAAAUUAAAAUAUUAAAUAGUAAAAUUAAAAUUUAAAAAAAUCAAAUAAUCGAUUCAAAAUAAUCUAUAAUUCAGGUAUAAGUUUUGUACUCAAAAGUUUUCGACCGUUAUAUCUACUCUUUGACCAUUUUUAUCCGUUAGAUCAUACUAUUUAACAACUACUCAUUCAAUUCUAGAUAAUCAUUAUUAUAUACUAAUCGGGGACCACUAUAUAUCAUUCUAAUUACACAUCCUAUCAUUCAACGGUCGAAAACGUAUGAAUACGAGAAUCUAUAAUCAUAAAAGUAUAGUAACCCUAUUUCUGUAAGUAAUUCUAUAUAUGUAUCAGGUAUCACACAUCUUCGACACAUGCUAUGGUCGAGAAUCGUCGCCUUUUGAGAAGUUUUGAGAAUUGCAUGUCACUCCAUCAAUGUCAAAGUCAUUGUCGUAAUUUUAAUGAAAAGCAAUUCCCCCUCUCCAUCACAUAUACAUGCAUGUAAUUUAAUGACGAAAUGUCCCAUGGUAGUUAAACCACAUUGUAUUAAUUAAGGAGGCAUUUGAUUGGCAUAGUGUGUAUAGUGAGAAAGAGAGUCCCACUAUAGUGCUUCUCAAAGUAGUAUUCAUAUGGUAAUUCUAAUUUAUUAACCUUACGUCAACCCUUUAACCAUUUAUAGUUUUUAAAUACUAAAGAAGACCAAUAAACACUAAGGUACCGUUUGGUUCGAGUAUAAGCAAGAACUAGCUAUUACAGGAAUAGGUACAAGUAUGGGGAUCAAUAAAAUAGCGUUUGGAUUAAAAUUGGGUUGUUCUCGGGGAUAAGAAAAAUAACGUUUGAAUAAAUAAUAUAGAAUAAAAAAAAUAGUGGAUAGUUAUAUAUAAAAAAUGAAGGUGUUGGUGGGAAUAGUUAUACUAGCUUAUUUCAGAUACCUGAGAACUACUAUUAUUAUUUAAUGUAGUAAUGUAAUAUUGGAUUACAGUGUAUAUAUCAUUACUAUAUUCUGUUCACUUUAGAAAAUUUAGUAAUCCUAACAACAAAGUGUAAUUUAUUCCAAAAUGGCCCUUUUAGUUAUAUUUGGCAAAAUUUCUUUAUUAUUUACAAAUAAUAAUUUAUUUACUAAAUUUUAUUUUAACUAAUUUAAAUUUUGAAUUUAAAUUUUAUUUUUAUUUAAAAUUUAAAAUUUAAAAUUUAAAAUAUAAACAAAAAAAUUUUAAUAUUUUAAUUUAAAAUAUAAAUAUGAAAUUUAUAAAUUUAUAAAUUUAAAAUUUAAAAACUAAAAUAUAAAUUUAAAAGUUGAAAUUUAAAAAUCUAAAUUUAAAAUUUAGAAUUUAAAAUCUAAAUUUGAAGUUUAAAAUUUAAAAUUUAAAAUUCGAAACUUGAAACUUUAGAUUUGAAAAUUAAAAUUUAAAAAUUGAAAAUUAAAAUGUACAAUUUAAAAUUUGAUAACUCAAAAUUUUAUAUUAAAAUUUUAAAAAUGAUGUAUUGAAAGGGUUUGGAAGUUCGGAGGGAUAAACUUGUAAUUUUACAUAAAUAUAAGAUGAUCCGCCGUCAAUAAUAUGAGAUACCCAUGCACCCUCCGCAAGUUAAAAUUUCGGUCUAAUCUUACACGAUUUGUAAUUCUACAUUACUGGUCAGAUUAUAUAUUGGAUGAACCAAACGCAGUAAUCAUUGCAGGAUAGCCUGUAAUCUUGCCCGAAUAAUCCGAACUAAACUCACCCUGGGCAUCAUUAUUAUCCCAAGCCUAUAAUUUUUAAUCCAAAGUUUAAAAAUCGGAAGCACCAUCUCCUUUAUACUUUCGGGAACAUAGUACCCCUACACUAUAUAUAUAUAUAUAUAUAGAGAGAGAGAGAGAGAGAGAGAGAGAGAGAGAGAGAGAGAGAGAGAGAGUAGCUGGGGUGCUUCUAAUAGCACUAAGUACUUGUGCUAUCUAGCUUUUCACCGUUAGAUUCACCAGGCCAUUUGACCAUUUCUAUCUGUUAAAUCAUUCUAUUUAACCAACUACCUACGUCUUAACGUUUGAAAACCACUAUCGUCCUAAUCACACAUUUUCUUCAUCCAAGGACCGAAAAUCAAAUAACACCAAUGACUUGUUGCUAUUAAAAGCAUUCAGCCUAAUUCAUUCUCUCUCUCUCUCUCUCUCUCUCUCUCUCUCUCUAUAUAUAUAUAUAUGGGUUAUAUUUAUAUAUAUAAAUUGUGCUAGAAUACUAUUAAUAUAUAUAUAUAUAGCAUGAUGCAAUUCACUUUUUAACCAUUUAACGCUUAGGGUUGAGUAGGUGGUUGAUAUAAUAGUAAUAAUUCAGGGGUGAAAAAAUAAAUAGAAUGUAUUAUUAAUAGUAUUCUAACUGAACCCCCUCUCUCUCUCUAUUAAAUAUAUAAUAUGUGUAUGAAAAGUAAUUUUUCUAUUUUUCUUCAUUCUUUACUGCCUUUCAUAUUCUCUUGAUUUACAAUGUGUUAAAAGAAUUCGCCUUAACCUCCACCAUAAUCGUACUUGCGGAGAAGAAAUUUCGAACACAAAGGAGGGAAAUACGCCUAAAAAAACUCAAAAUUUUAAGAUUAAUUUAUAUUAUUUUUUAUUUAUUUAUUUUUAAGGCGAAAGGAAAACAAAAGCCAUUUUUUUAGUUUUAUUUCUUUAGCCUAACCGGCGCAAACGUGAGUCAAACAUUUUCUCUAUAUAUUUUUUCUCCUUCAUACAAAAGAAAAAAAAAAAAGAAAUAGGAAAAAAAGAAGGAAUAUUCAUUUUCUCUCUAUUUUUCACUGCCUUUUAUAUUCUCUUUAUCUAUUGUGUUAAAAAAAAUUCUCCGUCAACCUAUGCUACGAACGUGCUUGCAGAAGCAAAAAAAUAUAGCCCGUAUCUUAAAAUAAUGUUCUCGGUUAAUCCCGCAAAAAAAAUAAAAGGGGCAAUUGCUUAUAUAUCCGUGAAAAGUUUCCGACUUUCUGAUUUAUCCCUGUUAAAAGGCUAAUAUUGAAAAUACAUUUUUUAUGUUUCAACUUAUUUUCAAUAUACCCCCGAAGUUAAAUUCUAUUAGCAAUAGCUGUUAUCUCAAUGAAAUUAUUAUUUUGCCCUGUCAAAUAUAUGCUUUUACUUUUCUUAUUUGCUCUUAAGUUAGGGGCACAAAAAGUAUUUUAAUUUUUAGUCUUUUCAAAUAUACCCUUCUACCAUCAUCAAUAUUUCUUAUUUGUUUCUAAGUUAAGGGUAAAAGAAGCAUUUUAAUUUUUUUUAACUCUGAUAGAUAUUUAACUCACGUUUAAUCCAAAUUAAUUUAACAGGUGGUAACUAUAGGGAUAUUUUGAAAUAACAGAGGAAUAUAUAAAAAGUAUUUCAAAAACCCCCUCUGUGGUUUCACACUUUUUCAUUUUAGUAUCCUGUGGUUUAAAGUAUAUCAAGUUAGUACCCUGUGGUUUCUCAUUUUAUUACUUUAGUAUCCUGCAGUUUAAAGUGUAUCAAGUUAAUUAGUACCUUGUGGUUUUGCACUUUAUCACUUUAGUACCCUGUGAUUUCACACUUUAUCACUUUAGUACCCUGUGAUUUAAAAAACCAUAGGGUACUAACUUGAUACAAAAUUAAAAUCACGAGGUACUGAAGUGAUAAAGUGCAAAAUCACAUGGUACUAAUUUGAUACACUUUAAACCACAGAAUACUAAAGUGAUAAGCUGAGAAACCACAGGAUACUAAUUUGAUAUAUUUUAAACUACAGGAUACUAAAGUGAAAAAAAUUAAAAUCACAACGGAAGUUUUUGAGGUUUUUCCAAAAAAAAAAAAAAAGCCCUACGACAGUAGUUUAUCUACGUUAACGUCUAUCAUGUCCGAAGAGGAGAAAGAAACGUGCGUGAAAGCUGUAGGUUGGGGCAGCGUAAUCGUCCUUCCACCAUGGCGUCUCUAUCACUACGGUUGGGUUGGGCCCAAAAAGCGCUUAAAUGCAAUGUCUCUUCGCAUCAACACAAUUAAUAUACAAGAGAAACCCACGCCACCUCACGCUUAGUUUUUCUUUUUAAUUAGCAUGUUUCCAGUGCAGCUGCGAUGGGAUUUUCCCACACAAAAUUCUAGGUACAAAUGUAUGGAGACCCCUCAACAAUACCGCAUUUCGAUUUUCUAAACCAUGCAUACUUAAUUUCCUAUUCUCACCUCUUUGCUCCACCCAUGGUGAAUUUUAAACUAAAAUAGGCUUUCUGUUAAACUAUAGUUUAGAAAAAUAAAAUAAAAUAUUUUUCUUUUCUUUUUUUUUUUUUCGUAUGAUUGCGGAAUGGAAGUUCAUUUAAUUCUAUUGUUUGUUUGAUAAAAAGUGAAUUGUGAGAUAUGGAUUAAUAUUUAUUAUAUAUAUUUUUUAUUUAAACUUUAGUCAUUUUCAAUCUAAAAAUUAAUUACGGGGAAACAACAAACAUGCCCUUAAGCUAAAAAGUGAUUAAAGCUACUAAAUUUGACAACAUUACCUGUGGAUUAAGUAAAACCCCAUGAAAGUCAUUCAGCGUAGAAAAACAUUCAAUUUUAAAAAAAAAAAAAAAAGCCGAGGAGCCAAUUUCCAAAUGGCAUAUAACUGAGGGGUCUAAAUACAUUUCCACCUAAAUUUUGUGACGACUUUCCCAUGUAUAAAUACAUGGAGAGAGCCUCAAAUGUCAUAUAGCAUAUCCAAUAUAUAUCCUACACAAUUCUCUGCACCAUAUAUAGCUACCACAUACAUUUGCAUACAUAUAUAUGGCACACUUUAGAGUGAUCAACUGCCUGCUUCUCCUCUGCUUCUUUGCGGUCGCGCGAUCGGACUUUGCGGCAGACCGCGCGGAGUGCGCAAGCCAGCUGGUGGGUCUGUCGCCGUGCCUGACCUACGCGGGGGGCAGCGGGAAGGCCCCGACCCCCGACUGCUGCAAGGGGCUCCAAGAGGUCGUCGCGCAGAGCUUCAAGUGCCUCUGUGUGCUCGUCAAGGACCGCGACGAGCCCGCACUCGGGUUCAAGUUCAAUGUGACUCGAGCUCUCUUCCUCCCUUCUAUGUGCCAGGUUCCCGCAAACGUAACCGACUGCCCUAGUAAGUGAUGAUGGAUCCAUACUGCUAUAUAUAUAUAUAUAUAUCCUACUGAUGACAUAUUUUAUAUAUAUAUAUAUAUGGUAGUACUCAAACUAUAUAUAGAUAUUAGCAUAACUUCGUAAACAUUAUUCUCUAACAGUUUAAAUUUUUAAAAAUAUAAUAUAUAGUUAUUUUAUAUUACUUUCCAUGAUAUCGUAGCAAUAGAUUCUAAAUUCGAAUCUUAUCAGGCUCCUUGAGCUGUUUAAUUUUAGAUUUAUUAAAAAAGUCUCGAAUUCAGACUUAGGAGAAAGUAUACUGAGACAGCACAUGUAAAUUAUUAUCAUCUUAUGUUAAGAAUUAUAAUAGUCCUACGUUGAAUAGAAACAAGAAUUUUAACUAAGAUAUAUAUUAUAUACACGGUGCCUAUUAGCGUAAACUUGUGGAUUAAUUUUUUACUAUCUAAUAUGCGAUUUUGAGUUUUUAUGUAUGUUCUUCUUUGGAUCCCCUUAUUUCAACUUGGGGUGGGCAUGGUUUCAUUCGGUUUGGUUAUAAAACAAACUAAAUCCAAACCCGAUCUAAAUCCGUUUGGCAAAUCAAAAUCAGAACAAAAAUUUAAACCAUGGUGUAUAGAAAACCAAACCGAAUCAAACCAAAAUUUCUGUUUGGUUUCGGUUCAGUUUUUUGGUUUGAAAAUUUGAAUUUUAAAGAGAAUUUGUGCAGUUUAUCCGUUGAAUAUAUAUCAUUAGUUUUGCUAGUUUAUCAACUUUGAUUUUCUCUAUAUAUCAAUUAAAUAAUAGUUUAUUAUUAAAUUUUAAUAUAUACACAUAUAUUACUAUUUAUAUAUAUAUAUACCUGCUACGAUAAAUAUAUAUAUCAUAAAUUAAGACGUGUUUAUAUAUUCAUCCACCAAUUUACAAUUUUUUUUUCCCAAGUUUGCACUUUUGGUUUUUUUUUAAUUCUUAAUCCAAAACUAAAUUAAACUUUUGAUUUGCGAAUCUCUAACGUCAAAAUCAAACCAACCACAACUAAAAAUAUUAAUAUAUAUUUCUGGAUGCCAGCUUUUAACCACAUCGAUCUUUAAGAAAUAUGAUAUCUGAGAGUUAAUUUUAAAUCCUUUCGUUUUGUGUGACGUGCCCUUUCCUGUUAAAUCGAUUUUUUAGUUAAUAUGAUAUGGAAGUAAAUUCCACGCCUCUUCAUUUUGUGAGAUUCUCACUAUCAAUUCCCACAAUUCAACAAUAUUUUCUAAUGGCUUAAAAUUUUGUGUUGUAUAUUAUGAAUUAAAUCUAUUUCUUUUUUUUUAUAUAUAUAUAUUCAUCAUGCACGUGCCUUUCGUUCUGUAAGAUAGUGUUUCAAUCCCCACCUGUAAUAUUUAACGGAUUGAAUUUUCGUAUUAUAUAUAUAUAAUGAGUUAAUUUGUCAUCUUAUACCUUAUAACCAGUUCGGGAUAUUUUAACUACGUACUAGCUAGUUUUAACACUCUCGCUUACAUGCAUGGCACUAAUAUUGAUGCAUGCAGGAUUGUUGAACCUCCCGGCGAAUUCGGCAGAUGCGCAGGUUUUUGAGCAAUUUGGACGUCAACUCAAAAACAUCAGUAAUAAUAAUACAGCAACGGACGAUGGUAAUUUACAUUUUUUUCCCUAUUUUUUUUUUACUUAACUAUAUGUUGUUUUAAUUUUUUUCGCACGUACUAUAACUCCGUCGCAAAAUUUAGCAACCAAUAUAACGACCAACUGCUUUAUUUCAUCGCUAAAAUAUUUUUUGCGAAGGGACUGUAACAACGAAAAUUUAUUUUGUCGUUAAAUAGCAGUAGUAGCGACAAAUUUCUAAUAUUUUAUAACCACCAAUAUUAUGAAUUGCAAAAGGUUUAAAUUUUUGUAGUGUGCGAUAUCUUAUGGGAGGGGUUAGUAUUACGAAAAACAACGAUCGCCUGCUUUACUUCGUCGCUAAAAUAUUUUUGUGACGGAACUAUAGCGACGAAGACGAAGGUUUUUUUUUUAAUCGUUAAGUAGCGAUAGUGACGAAUAUUUAUUCCAUAGCAAUAAAUUAUCUAAAUCUUUAUAAUAUGAGGUACUUUUUGGGAGGUUGGUAUUACAAGAAACAUGAUAAUUAAUGAAUACUAGUGAAAUGGACCACACCUCACUGAAAUUUUUUCUUUUUUUUUAUAAUUUUCAGAUGAAAGAGAUAAUUUUUGAUGACAAAUUAUUAUAGUAUGCUUUACAAGAGUUUUUAUAUGUUUAAAUCUUUAAUAAAUUUGAUUGUACACAUCUUUUGCAUGCAUAGGAUUUAUAUCAUAUAGAUACCAGUGCUUUUUUAAUUAUUGUACGAAUUUCUUUGUAGUAUGCUACGUAGCCAGUUAAAAUAUCAUAAAUUAAUUAGUUUUACAAAUCAUAUUACUAUAAUUAAAUUAAUAUUAGUUAGGUUCUCGAUUUUAUAGUAAUUACAGGACGUACGAGUUAAUUAUAUAUUCCACGAACGCCAUUCAUAUCUUUUUUAACGUAUUAUUUUGUUUCGUAAAUUUGAAGCUCGGAAUACAUUACGCUUAUGUGAAAUAUAACCAUUAUUUGUUAAAAUAUUGAAAAACAUCUUAAGUUGAGGCUUUUAGAUAGAAAACUUCUAAUAAUUGUUAGCAAAUUAAAUAAAACUAAAAUCUAGUGAGAUUCAAAUUAGUAUAUUCUUCUAUUCUAAUACUACGUGCAAAAAAGUCAUUUUCUUUUCCUCUAAAAGCUUAAGUUAUUAAAGAAUUAAUGUUUCUAGUCACCUAAUUAAGAUCGAAUAUGUUUCGCUCAUAGAAAUAUCUUUUUGCUUCUUUUUUUUUUUUUUCAAUUCUUAUUAGGGGUGAAAACAGCUGAAUACGGUUGGACUUUUGACAAAUUAUAUUUAUAUUCAUCUUUUUUUUGGAUGCGAAUUCAGAUGUGCGUAUAUGUCGGAUGAUAAAUUGUUAUUGCCAUUUUCACUAAAAAUAGAUUCGAAUUCAGAUGUAAGUCAAAUUUAUUCUUUGAUAUUAUUCGGAUAAUAAUAUAUGCUAAUAUCUAUAUGUAAAUUAAUAUGAAUUAAAAUUAGUGCGAAUAAGACAAAAAAAUGCAAGUUAAAUUCACAUUCGUGUUCAAAUUUCAUAUACCUAUAUUUUAUUCAACAAAAUUUAAUAUUUUAACAAAUAUAAAUAUAAUUUUAACAUAAAUUUAUAGUAAAAUAAACGAAAGAACACGAUAGAAAAUCACUUUACCUCCCUACAAAUAUAUAUUAACAUCCUCUCAUAUAUAUCUUAAGGGUGAAAAUUGUUGAAUACAGCCGGAUUUUUAUAAGAAACCAUACUUGUAUCCGUAUUCGUUUUUAAAUUUUUUUUUCGGCUGCGAAUUAAGAAUAUUUAUUGAAUGCUAAAUUUUGGCAUCCUUGUCGGAUUCGAUCGGAAUUAAUUUUAACCAUAUCAUUGGUGCUAUUAGAUUUUCGGCUCUUGAAUGAAGGGAUCUGUAGUUAGGAUCGCAACGGUUGAGUGGGUGGCUGGUUGAAUACUAUGAUCUGACGGGCAAAAAUGGUCAAAUUAAGGGGUAGAACUAACAGUGAAAAACUUGGUAGCACCAAGCGUUUGAUACUAUUGAUAGUAUAGUAGCUGAACUUUUUGUUAUGUGUAUUAACAUUUAAUCUUGUCUCAAUUUGCAGGUAAAGGGCAUUCCACAAGUAAUGGUGCAAGAAGUAAAAUGAGGAUACUAAAUGCAACUGCAGGAAUAAUGGCAUGGAUGCUAUACCUUUUGUUGGGGUAGUUUGAAAAAUGUACUUGUCAUUAAUUGUAUUGAGCACAUUGUAUAACUAUUAUAUUAUUAUUAGGAUAUAUAAUAUGUGUGAGUGCAAUAAAUAAGAUAAUUAUAUGUGUAAGAUCAGAUUUAUUAAAUUUGAUAAUAUUUACUAAAUAAAUGAUGGUUGAAUUUUUAAAAUUUAUCUGUAUAAAACAAUUUAGAAUUUGGAUCUGUUAAUAUAAUCACCUAUUUUUUUUUAAUGCAUAUCUAUUACUGUCGAAGCCCAACUAUUGACAGGCCCAAGCUGAGUAUUAAUGUGGGCCUUGGGCUUGUGAUAAAUAUAUAUUUUAUUGAAUUUAAUUAUAGUGUUAUAUUUUUCAUAAAAUAGAAAAUCUACUGUGCUAUAGAUAAUAGAGUUUUGCUCGAUUACUAUUGAUAGUAAAUGACUCGGUUUACUACUCAUUUAUUUUCAAUUAUAAAGCAUUCAAAUCGACGAUCAACAUCAUUAUUGAAUAUAAUUUAAACCAUUUAGACAUCAAAUUUUAUGCUUUUCUGAUAUCGUUAUUAACUAAACGAUAAAAGCUCACAAAAUGUAUAAUUUUAAUGGUCAUGUGUUGCGUUUACUCAUUUGAUGGUAUAAAAGAGUACAAAUUAGUUGAAUUUUGGUUAAAAAUUUUUUAAACAAUUUAAAACAAAAUCUUGACUCUAGAUCUUGAAUGCAAAAAUCGUAUGAUCUCUUUUCUAAAGAUAUUUAUUUACAUAUGUUCAUUUCUAUAUCCAUCUGAUGCAUAAGAGAAUAUUAUUAAAAAAGUAUGAAAUUUGAUUUUUAAAUAAAUUAAAUGGUGUAAAUCAUAUUCAAUAGUGCCAAUCGUCAACUUCGAAGCUCUUCAUCGAAAAUAGAUCGAUAGUAAAGUGAGUCUUUUACUACCAAUAGUAGUCUGGUAAAACUCUAGAAAAUAACAAAAUAUAAUAUAAUUUACAACAUUUGAUCUAUCUUGAAAUAUGCAAAUUGUGCAUGUAAGUCGAAUAAGCUUUUUAAACAAAAUUCAGAGCAAUCAUUCUUGUUCUAAAUAACUAAAAUAGUGGAUAUGUUUAUUAAUAUGUUAAAGAGAUUUUGGCUUAGGGACUUUGGAUCUCCGUGAAGAAAAUUCAAAAAUAAUUUUUGAAUUCGUACAUAGAGAUCUCCGAAAAAUUAUUUUUUAAGAAAAUUAUUUUAUAACUUUUUUUAAAAAAAUGCCUUUUUAUUUUCUGUUGUACAGGAGUCGAAAGUGAAAACACGAAAGCUCGCCACUUCUUAAAGAUCACGGCUCAUUAAUGCCUUGAUAGCUUCUUAGUAGGGCUACUAUACUCUUAUGAGUAUAGAGCCCUUCACAUUCAUAAGUUAUUUUCGAUAAUGGAGCUUUUGAAUCGACAAUUUAUUUCGUUAAAUAUGAUCUAGAGUAUUUGAAACUUCUAAAAAUAAAUUUCAUAAUUUUUCGAAAUCAUAAUAAAGCCUAUCAAGCAGAUAUAAAUGAAUGAUCAAAAUUGAACGACGUCCUAAAACUAGAUAAUCGGAUCCUUCAAUUUAAGAUUGCAGUUAUUGAUCUUUAUUUAGAUAGUUAAUAGAAUUUUCUAUAAAAAAUUCAAUCGAUUCCGUUUCUUUUACACCAUAAAACUAGCAAGUAUUCCAUACUAGCUGUAAAAAAUUAGCAAUUUUGAGAUAUUUUUAUCAUAAGGUAAAUAAUGUCGAAAAAUUAUAAAAUUUAAUUUUUAGAAGUUUUAAAUGCUCUAGAUAAUAUUUAACUAUAUGGAUCGUCGAUUCGGAAGCUCUACCACCGAAAACGACUUAUGAGUAUGAGAGCGAUCGUACUUAUAAAAGUAUAUUAGCUGGACACUAUAUAUAUAUAUAUAUAUAUAUAUAUAUAUAUGUGUGUGUGUGUGUGUACAUAUAUAUUUAUUGUGUCAAAUUGAAGUAAAAUAUUUAUUUAUUUUUAUAAGUUCAAGAAUAGAAUUUGUUCGUACUAAAAUUUAGUUUCUCCAAGAAACUAAUAAAGGUCUAACUAACGAAAGCUUUAGAAUAAUACUAUAAUAUGGAAUUAGGCUGGAUUACUAUUGAUAGCAAAACGCUCUUUUUGCUAUCAAGUUUUUAACCCUUGGAUAGAAAUUGUAGGGUUAGGAUAAUAUUAGUCAGUUAGAGUUGAGUGGUCGCCCAAGUGUUGAGUGGUCCCCACUGGUUUAUAGUAUUUAAUCCAAUGAUUAGAAAUGAUGAAAAUAGUUGAUCGAAAGGCUUUAAACUUGAUAGCAAAAAUGACGUUUUGCUAUCAAUAGUAUUCUCGCCCAACUCCUAUAAUAUGUAGUAUAUUAUGUCCUUAAUUCCUUACGUAGGUAAAUGUAUAUGGCAAUUGUAAGUUUCUAACUAGCUUAUUGGGUUUUCGGCUCAUUCACAUGUCCAAAUAGACUCCAAAUUCUUUUGGGUCUAAAGUUUUAAUUCCGGCCCAAAUACAAAGUUAGAAUUUGGAUACCUAAAGUCUGGCCCAUAUGGCCUAUCCAGUCGGGCUUUGUUUCGGCUCUGCCCAAGUUCCACCCCUACUUUUAAUGUGGCGCCUAGCAAUAGUCCCAAAUCGGAUAAAACAAGAAAUAUGAUUAGAAAUAUAAAGGUUAGGGUCAUUAUAAUAAAAAUCAGGCUUAUGUAUUUUAGAUUAUUGAUUUGAGCGCAAUGAGUUAUUUGUGCUAGUGGGCUGCACAAUUAGUAUCGUAGUCGAUUUAUCUACAUAAGUGUAAGAUGGCUGGUUGAAUUAUUAUAAUUAGGUCCCAUUUGAUUCAAAAAUAAAGUUGAGAUAGCGAAAGUUAUCCCCACUAUUUCGCAUUUUAUUUGAUUCAAAGAUAAAGUUGCAUUUUAUUUGAUUCAAAGAUAAAGUUGGGAUAGCGAAAGUUAUCUCCGCUAUUUCGCAUUGGGACAAAACUUUACUCUUCCCGAUUAUCUCAUAAUAGCUUGAGAUAAACUAUUCCACUUAUUAUAUGUGUAGUGUUCUUGACCUUUGGAUAGGAUUGACUUCAGUAUUAGUGACUAGUCGACGUCUCUGGAGAGUGUCGGACUGAGUCAGAGUCAAUUCUGCACGAAUUGGAUGCAGAAUGGGACUCGACGCACUCAAAUAGGCAAAACUAGAGUUUUGCCAGAUUCGGGCGCCCAGAACAUUUUUAGGGUCGCCUAGAACUGAGUGUUGAAUUUAACUGAAACUGGAAGCCAAUUCGGAUCCCAUGUUCCGGGCGCCCAGAUGUGGGUCCGGAAAUUCGACAUCGUGAAUAUCGCUUGCUUCGACGCGUGGCAGGGCGGUAGAUGAGUUCCGUCGGAGCCAUUUACGGGCGCAGCACACCGCGAGCGGAGAGUCCGAGGAGCCCGGUUUGUGCAGUCGGGAUGUUCUGGUCGCCCAGAACAUGGUUCCGGGCGCCCAGAAAUGCCCGUUUCUGCAGGGACACUGGAUAGCAGCUUGAGUUCCUGAGGCUUUCUGGAUCAUUUUAACUCUCUAUAAAUUGAUGGAAUACGCCCCUUUGCUGCUCUUUUCCUCUCUUCUUCACAGAGAAGUCCCUUUUAGCAUCUCUACCCUCGGAUUUGCCUCAAAUUGCAUCAAACUUCCAUUGAUCCAGCUUGAGAGAGUGCUGAUUCUGCAGUUCUUCAGCGGCGACCUCCAGUGUUUUGGCUCGUGCGCGACGUAGGAAGGUCGGAUUUCGACGAAACUUGGUUUGCCGGAUUCUAGACUUCCAGAGCAAUCCAUGAAGCCCUGAAUUGCAGAUUUUGGUUGAGGUUAGCUUGGUCGAAUUGAGGAUUUUCUGGACUGCUCUUGGCUUUGAGCUGAAAAUGGGAUUUUUGAGUUUUUCUUGAUGUUAACUUUGUUGGCAGUGGGAUUUUGGACCUGAGUUUGAUCACCCUUCAGUAGUUGCUGGAUUUGGAUCUGUCCUCACCCGAAUUGGAGAUCAUUAGGUGAGUAAUUUGACAUUGGAAUUGGAUAAAUCCUAAGCUUAAGUGCUGAAAUUGGAAUUUUUAGUGGAUUUUUAGUGGAAUUGAUGUUUAGACCCUGAUUGUGGACCUUUGCUGGCUGUGAGCAGGUGCGCCUGGUUCUGACAGAGUGUUCCGUAGCUGAGUGACCAUCUUGCCGCCAGGAAUUACAUUAGAGGUGGGUGUAUCAUCGGUUUCGCUCCUAAGUGCAUGUUUAGUCGACGUGUAUAGUUCGAUUUUUGUAUAUCAUGCUUUAAUUCAUCGAUUAGCAUUUUGGAUGUAAUAUGAAUAUAAAAGCAUGCUGAAAUGAAUGUUUAUAUUAUACAUGUUGGACUUGAAAUUUGACUUAGGAGAAAACCUGCGUUUUCACCCGUCAUAUGCUUAAACUACCAGAUUUAGCUCUAGGAGCCGUGAUUCGAUUGUAUCGUUGCAGUAUCGUUGCGAUGGAUACCUGGGGUAGUUUAGAAGGCAUUUACGCCCGUGCUGAGAUGCCGAGCUCAUUUUUCAGCAAAGUGUAGGCUGUUUCGGGUCGUUGGGUACCGUUCGGGUUAGCGGUGGACCCAGAUUCUUGUUUUAGUCACAGAUUGUGCCGAGAGCACGUGGGUUUGGUUUGUAGACCUGUUUUGACCCUGUUUACUUGACUUUGGCUAGUUGGAGCCUGAUUGAGCUCGACAGAGAUACGCUGCAUACUCGGUUGGGUAGCGCCCACGAGUGCCACUCCGGAGUCGGCUUUGUGCUUUCGCGUUGGUGUCGCUCAUGCCAGUUGGACUUGCUCUCCACGGACCAGUUAGUGUGGAUAGAGCCCGAUAGUCGCAACGGGGCAGGAACGGGUGUAUUCACAGUCCCGGGGACGGGUAUGCUUACAGUCCCGAUUGGAUUGGGUCGGGUUGGAUAUUUUCUACAGUUGGUUAGUGUAGAGCAUGAUAGUGUAGUGUUUGAUAGCGGUAGACUUUAUUCCUGCAUUUUACUACUAUUCCUGCACCCUUCUGUAGACUUAGUGGGUGGACCGAUGUUGUUUUGGGCGGUACCCACUGAGGACUACUUGUUUUUACAGUAGUUCUCACGCCCAGUUAUUACCCCUGUUUUGCAGAGCCACAGGUUUCGGCUGCUGCGCCUUCCGCGGAUCAGGAUCGAGGCAAGGGCGUCACGAGUUAGAGCCCUACCCGACGUGCUAAGCUAGAGGUGCCCUACUGCAGGUAGAUGUUUUGUUCGAGUUUAUGUACAUAGUGGACUUAACUCGCCAGUGCGAGUAGCUUUGUAUUUUUUUGGAUUUGGACUAUGUAUAUGAAACUCAGUUUGUUUAGCUUCUGUUUUCUCUAGCAGCUCUCUACUACUGUUCGUAGUAGUGUUUGAUUUACAAGUACAGCUAUCGCUUCGUAUACAGGGAAAAUUCCUUUGUAUACGGCGAAUUUGUCGGUACGCCCGGAGAAAGUGUAAUCCGGGGCGUGACAAUAUGACAGCUCUUGCAAUAGUUCUAUAUGUGAGGCUAAACUUCUUAGCCUGUCUAUAACAUUUUGUAUGGUGGCUAAAACCAAGAGAGUAAGAAAGUUAAAUGUACUAGAGUUAGAGUAGUUUUAGGAUAUUGGAUGAACCCUUGGGAAGUGGGGUGUUGGAUCUUAGGUGGAGUAGCGCUAUUAUAAUGUUUAAUUCUAAUUUUUAUUAAGAUUAUAAAUUGAAUUAAAAUAAAUUUUAUAGAUAUGAUAUAUUAGAUGUGGUAAUAUAUUAUUUUUAUUAUAAAAAUGGCUAAUAACACUAUAUUUAUAAAUAUUAUUUUAGUAAAAUUAAGUUUAAGUAGAAUUUGAAACAACUUAUUUUUGUAAAAGCUUAUAUUUAUAAUAAAUUUUGUAUUCAAUUAUAUUUUAUAUCAAAUUCAAUCGUCAUCUUUUUUUACUAUCCUCUACUGUUCCAUAAAGUAAACACAAAUGUAAUUUUAGNUUAAAAUUAAAUUUAAGUAGAAUUUGAAACAACUUAUUUUUUGUAAAAGCUUAUUUUUAUAAUAAAUUUUGCAUUAAAUUAUAUUUUAUAUCAAAUUCAAUCUUCAUCUUUUUUUACUAUCCUCUGCUAUUCCAUAAAGUAAAAACAAAUGUAAUUUUAAUUAUUUUUUAGAAUAGUGAUGCUACAAAACAAACAUAAUAUUUUACUUUUAUUUAUAACUGUCUCGAAAUGAUAAGUUAUUUUAAAAAUAAAAAAAAUCUUAAUAUUCGUUAUUUCCGAACCAAAUAGGACCGUAGAGUACGAAAAAUCGCCUUAAGAUGAGUGACUUAGGACCUUCUGGUUGCCCUAUCUUUGAAUGCAGAUGCAAUCUAUUUUCGCUUUUUCAAUGAAAAUAAUAUUAUCUUAUUUAGGGAGGAAAAAAAAGUACAUCUUACUGGAGAUAAUUUGUUCAAACUUCCAAAAUCAAGUACUAUAUUAGAAUAUAUAUUUGAGAUUUUUUUUUCAUUAUGGUAAAGUCACGUACCGAUGGCGAUCGACAAUCGACAAACUUGACGAAAAAAUUCCACCUUGUUGAUUAUUUGCUCUUUUAGAAACUUUUUAUAUUGAUUGAAUGUAAUUAUAAAUAUAAUAUAAUUAGAGAUGAAUAUAGUUAAAAAUAAAAAAUUUAUUUAAUAUGGUAAACAACAUUGUAACUUAGAGAUGAACCUUAUUUUGUUAGAAAUAAUAGAAAAAAUUGUAACUAUAAAUAAUUUGUUUAGUUUUAUGUGGUUGAGAAGUGUAUUCAUAACAAUUUUAUUAUUUUUUAUAUGGCGUAUUUAAAAGGUUGUCAGAGAGAUAAGCUUUUAUAUAUUUCAUUUAAAGUUACUUUCUGCUACUGUAGCAGUUGGACUUACUUCAGUUAAGAUAUAAUUUUAACUGCUACACUUGAGCCUUUUUCUAUAGUUUCAAAUGCAUCAAUUUAAAACUGUACCGAAUUUGAAUCCAUGUAUAGUUAUAAGUACAGCGCAAUUGCAGUUAUUCAGUUUAUUUCAAAUUUUAAUGCAUUUGUGAUUUGCAGUUGAGAGAUCUUUUUAAUUACUUUAUAUAUUUUGUCAUUUUAUUUUAUUUUUUUAAUUUUAGUUUCGGAUAAACGAGGACUACAAAGAAAUUAUUGGCCUUGACUAAAACCUUCCGUUUGGUCAGAUAUCAUGAUCCGACCACGUGGAUUAGAAAAUCUUCCGUAUACCCGGUGCACCAAAUAAGCAGCGAACCAAGUUGCUCUAUCAUUGAUUUCUAAUAAUCAAAAAACACUUUGAUUUAAAGAAAAGACGAUGAAACAGAUCUACAGAAAAUGUUAUUCCUAUAGCAUUAUAUACAGAAAAAUUCUGCACACAAAGUUUUAUGUAAAAAAUUUGUAUGAUACAGGAGUACGAUGGUUUGCACCGCAUGCAACUAAAAAUUUCUCGUUCAGCAGCCCUGGCCCAGUUUACCAACCUUCCACCCUGGAUGAGUACAACUGGAUAAGAUGUCAUCCCCAAUGUCACUCAAUGACAAUGAUAUUUUAUCGGCCGUCCUAGCACAACUAGCAAAAGACUUCGUGAUUGAAACUCGAGGUUUCAAAUUCGAAUACUUACUGAUUUAUAUUUUCAGUUAAAUUUAUUUCUAAAUAAAGUAAAACGAAGCGGGUAGCAUGCUAGCUACCUAUUUUUCAAAAAGAAAAAUGACAAUGAUAUUUUACUAUCAAUCGUCCUAGCGUUCGGUGGUUGCUACGCGAGAUUUGGAAUUCAAAUUUUAGUUGAUUUAUAUUUUCAGUUAAAUAUAUUUCUUAAACAAAUAAACGAAGCAGAUAGCAUUCUAUUUUUCUUUUUAAAAAAAAGAAAAAACUUCAAAAACCCCUCAUGUGGUUUCGCACUUUUUUAUUUUAGUACCCUGUGGUUUAAAGUGUGUCAAGUUAGUAACCUGUGGUUUCGCACUUCUCACUUUAAUACCUUGUGGUUUAAAGUGUAUCAAGUUAGUACUCUAUAGUUUUAUUUUUGUAUUAAGUUAGUACCCUGUGAUUUUAUUUUUGUAUCAAGCUAGUACCCUGUGGUUUUAAACCACAGGGUACUAAAGUGAGAAAGUGCGAAACCAUAGGAUACUCAAGUGAGAAAGUACGAAUCCACAGGAUAAUAACUUGAUACGCUUUAAACCACAUGGUACUAAAAUGAAAAAGUGCAAAAUCACGGGAUACUAACUUGAUACACUUUAAACCACAGGGUACUAAAGUGAGAAAAAGUGAAACCACAAGGGGAGUAUUUGAAGUUUUCCCAAAAAAAAUAAUGAUAUUUCACUCCCUACAGUAUGCAGAGAAGUUCAAAAUUAUUUCAAGAUCAGUUGCUCGUUUGAUAAAAGAGUUAAACACGAGCUGAAUUUUUCAGUUUGAAAUCUUAACGAGCCAAGUAUGAGUUAGAAUUAGCUCGCUUGUGUUCGGCUGGAUAUAGUUUAUAUAUAUAUAUAUAGCAAUUUAGAAAGCUCGAGACAGUAAUUAUUAUAAAUUAAAGUCUGAAAACCCAAAUAUCAUGCGAGUCAUAAUUUUAAUGAUUAAACAUUCUAUAUAUAGUUUCACACAAUUGACUCACUACUAAUUAAAAACGCCAAAAUUUAAUUCAAAAUGGAUUAUUCAAUUAAUGAGACACCUUCUUUUCAAAUAAAAAAGAAAAAAAAAAAAAGCAAAUCAUUGAGACAGCAAGAGUUAUCCAAUUUAAUUAUUAGGGUCACGAGAGCAAUAACAGCAUCUCUUCAAGAAGGGUUUAGAUGCCCCCUAAUUAAUGCUCUCGGUGCAGUAAUUAGUAAAGCAACAUUUCAUUGAACAACCGACCGUCCCUAGAGCAAGUGGCAAAGGGCUUGGUGGUUGGUACUCGAGACUCAAGUUCGAAUCCUAGUUGAUUCACAUUUUCAGUUAAAUUUAUUUCUAAAUGAAAUAAACGAAGCGGGUAGCGUGCUACCUAUCUCUCAAAAAAAAAAAAAACAUUUCAUUGAAUAAAAAAAAGAAAAUAUUUUCAAAUCCGAGUAGUCAGUAGCGUGUGGAACUCAAUAAGCUGUACUUUGAAAAUCCGCAUUAAACACACACACGAAAACAGAAAAAAAAAAAAAAAAUUUCUAAUUGGAAGCAAACACUAGGAAUAUUCUGAAAAUAUGCUUCCAUUUAAUUAGCUGCAUUGUGAAGAUCAAAUAAGUCAUAUUAUGUGCACGUACGGAUAAACCAGAUAACAAUUCGACAACUACAUAAUCAAUAAAUAAAAAUAUGUUUUAUAAACUGAAACUACAACAUCCCAAGAAAAGAUAGAAUUUUACUAGAAAUAUUAUGUUAUUUUAAAAAUCAGAUAGAUUAUGUUAUCCAAAAAAUCAAUAUAGUAUGAAGCGACGUCAUAUGAUAUUCAGAUAUAACAAGGAAAAAAUCUCUGUGCGCCAAUGAUUUAUAAGGUACUAGAAGGUUAAACUAAACAUAUUAAAUUAUCUGGUAAUUCUCCAAUAACUAUAGUUGGUAGAGAAUUGUGUUUAAAUAUUUUUAUAUUUAACACUCCUCGGACUUUUGCUAAGCCCAUAAUAUGGACUAAAUUUAAAUAAGAGAAAACCAAUACUGAUAGAACCUGCAGGCAUGACUCAAACUCUGAUGUUAUAUUAAAUAAAAUAAAAUAAUUAUUACACUCUAAAACUUUAAAAGCUCGUAAAAAAUAAUAUUUUAUAUUUAACAAAAAAAAAAAAGAGAAUCAUUUUCAUUGAAAAAAUUGAUAGUAGCUUAUUGUGGUAAUAGUGGUAAUAUGUUAUUUGAAUUUUGUUAGAAUGUUUAUACAGUGGAUAUAUUCGGUGUAGAGAAAAGUCCCUUUCAUGAUUAUGUAUAAGAUUAGUACAAGUGUCCUCAUCAUAGGCCCUCGCUACAUGGUCUAUCCUCCCACAAAAGAUGGCUAAGUACUAGCCAUGCAAUCAAUUUUUUAUACGUAAUUACUGCUACUCAACUAAAUAAUCAAUUAUUUGUGUCUACCAAUUAAGCAACACUCAUAUUGAUUAGCUAAUUAAUACUAGCCUAAUUAAAUUAUCUAAUUGAUUAAAUAAAUUAAAUUAAUGAGUAGCUAAUUAAUUAAUAUAUGGGGCAAUUACUUAUAUAUAUAUCUUUCAAAAGUUCCCUAACUACUUUCUUAUUUAUCUCUUAUAGAAAGCUAAUAUUAAAUAUACUCUUUUAAGAUUCAAUGUCUUUUAUAUAUAUUUCUAAAUAGUGAACUUUUAGUAACAGCGUUAUCUAUAUAAAAUUAUCAUUUUGCUCUUUAAAUAUAUCCUUCUACAGUCACCAACUUUUCUUAUUUAUUCUUAAGUUAGGAAAAACAAUAUUUUAACUUUUUAUUUUUCAUAUAUAUCUUCUAUCGUCACCAACUUUUCACAUUUGCUCUUAAGUUAGAAGUAAAAUAGGUUUUUUUCACUAUUUGUUAACUAUGAAAGAAAUUUAACUCAUAUGAUUUAAUGAGCACUAUCAAUAGGAGCAUUUUUUAAUAAAGAAAAAAAAAAUAUAAAAGGUUUAUUUGGAACAAAAAAAUAGUAGGGAUAAAUAAGAUAUUUCAGAGGUUUUGAAGGGUAUAUAGGCAAUUAUCCCUUAAUAUAUUAAUUUACUUUUUUUUAUUAUUAAUUAACUAUUUAAUAGGCAAUUCAUUACCUUCUACAAUGUUCAUUACUAAUUACUUAAUUGAUUAACUUACUAAGGUCUUAUUUAGUAUCAUAAUUAUUUUUUAUUUUUUAAAUAUUUAUUAUAUAUAAUUGAUGUGUUGGAGCUAGACAUACUCUUCUUUUCUUUUUUUCCUUUUUUUGACUAGUAUACAAUGCAUCCAACUAAGUAACAAACGAUUGCUCGUUUAAAAAAAAAUUUGGAAUAAAAAACAAGUUGCUUUCAAUUUUUUUUUUUUCUUUUUUGUAACCUUGUAUAUACUGCAGAUGAAAUGGUUAUAAUCAAUCCGCUGUCCACACCUACAUCUUUUGAUAAACAAAAUUCUAUAUAGAAAAUAAAAUGCAAAUAAAGAUACCAAACAAGGCAUAAAUUAUUAUUUUUUAUUAUUUUGAUGUUUAUUAAUAAGAUAAAAAAUAUAUACUUUUAAAUUUUAACUACUCUUAGUUUUACUAUUUCAAUAUUAAUAUUUAAACGUUAUUUUUCUUAUUUUAGAGAAUAAUCCAAUUCUUUUCCAAAUAGGAAAAGUUAAUUAGAUUAGUUCUCACUUAUUCCAACAUGCCAGAAAUAAACAAGGACAGUUUACUUUUGUUUACAAACGAUAUUUUUGACUUUUUGUUUACUAAAUAUGGAUCGAUGACCAACCCGUACGUGUCUCAUGAGAUAAUUAAUUAAUAAAUUAAUUAAUCAUAUUUGUAAUUAGAUUGAACUUGACAUGAAAAUUUCAAUAUAAAAUACACUUUUCAGACGACGUUUCAAGAAAGAGUCCUUAAACGUUUCUACAAUAUAGCAAAUACCGACGUUUCAAAAAGCGUCGCUAUAUAAAUCUUCUAUCGUGGUGACUCUUUAUUUGCUGAUAUUUUAAUCGAUACUUUCAAAUGUGAUACUAGACUAUAUUAGAACACUUUUAAAAAUCUUUAAAUAUAUAAGAAAGAGAAUGCCUUUCAAUGUUACUCUUCUUGUAGCCAAUGGAGGCUUGGGAGGGAAUUAUUACAAAUUAAUAUAUUCCACCAAGUUGUCCCUGUAGUUCUAAUAUUUUACAUUUAUUAUACUCUCAGUCACGUUUGGAUUCAAUCGAUAAUAUUGUAAUAGGAUGACAACGUAAAUUUGAAUUAAACAAAAAAAUUUAGAUAAAGCUAGAAAUAUUCUAGUUUGCUUCAUAUUCAAGAUCUAUUGCUUUGAUAUUAUGUAAAAUAUAUAUUUUUUUAAAAAAAAUUGAGCUGCCAAAUAUAAAACGGAGCUUUUUCAUAUGUUGUUUCAAAAGUCUCAUCUCCAUAAUAUUUCUAAUAUGAAAUAUACGCACAACUACAAAAUCCACACACUAUAUAUGUACGGUAUUUUAUAAUAUUCCGUUUUGAGGCAGGCGCACGUGACUAACUGGGAUUUAACUUACUUAUUUUGUUCACAUUAGCUAUAAACAAAUCACGCAUAAUCCAUUACAUAAUCCAACAUUUUAUUCUAUGAAUCGCGGAGACUACUAACAUAGUCCCCCAUGCAAGAACAUCGACAAGAGCAUAUAUGCAUAUAUAUAUAGAGCUAGGCUGGUAUACUAUCGGUAGCACGGAGGCCUCCGUACUACCAAGUUAUUUUCAAUGAUGCGGCUUCCAAAUUGACGAUCGGCUCAGUUAGACUUGAUCUACACUAUUGAAAGUAUUUCGAAACUAAAUUUCAUAAUUUUUCGGCAUCAUUUACCUAUCAAACAAGUAGUCUAAAAAUGAACGGUUGAAAAUAAAAAUCUCAUAAAAAACAGUAAUAAAGAAUUCAAAAUUCAAAUCGGAAGUAUUGGUCUUGCUAUUGAUGUUAAGUAGAAUUUUCUAUUAAAUUUUCAUCUAAUUUGGAUACUUCUACACCGUUGAACUUAAAAACGCAUCAUAUCUACCAUUAAAAUUGUUAAUUUUGGAACCUUUUGAUCACUAGCCAAAUGAUGUCGAAAAAUUAUGAAAUUUAGUUUCCAAAUACUUUUAANAUAUAUAUAUAUAUAUAUAUAUAUAUAUAUAUAUAUAUAUAUAUAUAUAUAUAUCACCAUUUCUUAAUUAGCUCUUAUUAUACCAUGCACACAAACUAAAUGAUUAAUUAGUUUGUGUGCAUGGGGGACUAACUAAAUGAUUAAUUAGUUUCCGAACUUGGACUUGAUGAGGUCGAUGAUCUUGUCGUCCACCUGGAAGGUCCUGCUGAGCACGGCGUCGGGGAUCGGGGGCUUCGACCCGAACAGCGUCACCGACGACACCACCGUCCCCGGCAACUGGCUAUUGAACGCGGUGAUCUCCAGCGCCUCCCCUUCACCGACGUUGAGUUCGAAGUGCAUGAGCCCCCGCGGGAUGAUGAAGUUCAUCCCCGGGCCGAGCACCUUGGAGUAGAACACCCCUGCGGUCGUCACGAACCCGACGAGCACCUUCCCCUUCACGACAAACCCUAGCUCGGUCGCGCGGGGGUGGAUGUGCGGAGGGUUCACCCCACCGUGGGCAAUAUCCACCCGGUUCAUCGACAACCCAAGCGUGUUCAACCCUGCGAAGGUCAGCACGUUGGCCGGGGUGACGCUCGACCCGAACAUGUUGUUGGUGUUGCCCGCCACGGAUAUCGCGGAGGAGAAGAAGUCGUCGGGGACGACGGUGGUGUUCCGCUUGCACGGGAAGCCGUUCACAGCGACGGGGGAGUGCAAGUCGGCGACGCAGAAGUCCUGGAGGGGGUCGGCGUCGGCGGCGAGGGACGUCGGGAUGAAGAAGACGGUAAGAGAGAGGGAGAGGAGGAGGAGAAGCGAAUUGGCCGCCAUUGUAAGCUUAAUCUAUGAAUAGGAUGAGAAGGAUAUAUACUGAUGGAUACGUUAAUUGUGAGGAGGAGAAUGAAGCUUGGUGCUGUAUUUAUAUAGCUAGGGUGUUGAGUGAUACUUUUUCAAAGUCAUAUAUAUGCAGUUGUUGAAUAGUCAUCGAUUGGCUAUCCAUCUGCAUUUACAUGACCGACAUAUAAUAAGAAAUUGGACACGUACGCAAGAGGGCUACUGUGGGUUUGGAUAAGCAAUUGGUGGGGGAAAUAAUUAACUAAUUCAGAACCUGUUCUUUUGACUUGACCGUACGAAUUAAUGUAGUUUUGAACGUAAACAAGUUAAUUACAUUGUAGCCCCAUGGUACGUACGUAUUGAAGGAUCGAUCCUUCCCUGAAAUUUGGAAGAUCAAUUAAUUGACUAGGAAAUAUAGAAAAUUAUAAGAGUCUUUGAUUACUGGAAAAUAAUCAUCAAAUCCCGGGAAGCUAGCUAGUAACAUUUUAAUGAAAAAAAUAAGAAGAUAUAAUAUUUCAAGAGUAGUAAUUAAUCGAAGGUUUAGAAAAAGAAAAGAAAGCAAGGGUACGUGUAUAGAGUGUUCGUGUAUUAUGUAACACAUGAUCAUAUAAAAAUAUUUGAUUAGUUAAUGCAUGAAGUGUCAAAGUGCCUUAUAUAUUUCGCAACACAUUAAUGCUCAAUAUAAGGAUAAUAUUUUAUUAUGUGCUCAAAGGAGUUUCGCUUUGGUUAAUUAGUUGGCAUACGCUAGCAGUGACAACUUAAUAUUUCUUUUUCUUGAGAAAAAAUUAGCACCCUAUCUACUUCAUUUAUUAUGCCUGUGUGUCUGGUUCGGGAUUAAAGGGUGGGAUAACCCCUUAACACCGGAUUUAAUCCCUAACACCCAAUUUGGGGGGUGGGGUUAGCUAGCUAACCCCACCCCACCCCAGGAAUAGGGGUGGGAUUAACUUAAUCCCACCCCUAUUUAAUUUUUUAAUGUAGAUAUAAAUUUUAAUUUUAAAAUUUAAAAUUUUAAAAAUUUAUAUAUUUUAAUUUUAAAAUUAAUAUUUAUUUUUUAAAAUUUAAAUUUUAAAAUUUUUUAAAAAAUUAUUAUCUUUAAUUAUUUAAAUUUUAAAUUUGAUAUUUUAUAUUUGUAACUUUAAAUUUUUUCAUUUGAGAUUUAAAAAUAUAAAUUUUAAUUUUAAAUUUUGAAUUUUAAAUUUUAAAUUAUUAUUUUAAAUUCUUUUUAAAUUUUAAAUUUGACAUUUAUAUUUAUAACUUUAAAUUUUUAAAUUUGAGAAUUAAAAAUAAAAAUUUUAAAUUUUAAAUUUUAAAUUUUAAAUUAUUUUUUUUAAUUAUUUAAAUUUUAAAUUUAAAUUCAAAUAUAAAAAUUAGGGCAAAAUAAUUAUUUUCUAUUUAUAAUAACCCACUAUCUUUCUUAUCCCACCUACUCCAAUCAAAUACUAUUUUAUCUAUACUAGAACUAAACCCAAUUCUCAACCAAACACAAAAUUACUCUAAUCCGACCUUAACCAUGAACUUAACCCUAUUCCUGAAAUAACUAGUUUUACUUAAUCCCGAACCAAACGAAGCCUAUAAGAAUGAACUAAACUUCAGGGGUGAGGUAAUAGACCUCUGUUAAAA